GGGUUCGGGUUCAGGUUCAGCCUUCUCUGUUCCGGACCCGUAUGCCAAUUUGUCUUACCAGAUCCGGAUUAAAACCCGGAUUUUUUUACUGCAGGUCCAGAACGGGUUCAAUCCGGAAAUAGUUCGGGUUUCCGGAUUCCGGAUUUUAAGCCCGGAUUGUUGGGUGAAGGGAGGAAGAUAAAUUCUCCAAGCAUGCCACUUUUGGCUCUUUGGAAUUUGCAGAAACAAUAGAACAAAUUUAUGAGAUCUCAACUAAAUUUACUUACAUCAAUAAUAAAGUUUACAAUUAUAUUGAUAUUAUGUGUUUAAAUUUUGUAUUUGGCUAUUCACAACAACAAAAACUUCAAUAAUUAUCGAAGCGCGCCGAUGAAAAGAGGUUUGCGGUUUCUUUGAGAUGUCGGCUAAGGCACUGGCGAGUUCAGGAGACAGCAGCUAUGAGAGCAGCAAGCGGAGUCUGAGAUCCAACAUCCACAAAGAAGAUAGGUACCUUCCGAUCCCUUGGUUGAUGAUGAUGGAUGACGAACGGUGGUAGGGCUUGGUUGUUACACUUGAUGAUUUAAAUUGAUAUUGAGGAUGAUUUAAAUUGAUGUUGCUCUUGAUGAUGAAUUGACGAUGAUGGAUGGAUGAUAAAUUGAAGUUGAGGAUAAGGAAGAUUGGGGUGGCGGCUGGUGUGGGGCUAGGGUUUGUUCUACGUUUUUGUUUUUGCUUUUUGUAACUUUUUGCUUUAUAUUUAUAUUUUAUAAUAAAAAUUAAUUAAUUAAUAAAUCAUAAAAUACUGUAAUUCGGGUCCGGGUUCUGCAUAUCCAGAUAUAUCCGGGUUUUAAAAAAGGCUUUCGGAUCCCGCAUUUUUAAUACAUUCGGAUCGGGUUGAACCCGGGCCGAAUCAUCCGAGUUUAUCCGGGUCCAGGUCGGGUCCCGAAAAAUUUGCCAUCCUGGGCCGUAGAGAUUGUGGCUAGGCUAGGCUAGGCUGUGGGUUGUACUGUUUUUGUGGAGGAAGUAAAUGGGGCAUUUGUGGAGGAAGUAAAUGGGGCAUUGACCAAUGUGUAAUCGAAAUAGGGAAUUUGGCUUGAGAAUAAAUUGUUUACUUUUAGUAUAUGAAUUGGAAUUAGAAUGAGUUGAAUUGUCAUUAAUGUCUUAUUUUGUCUUUGAAUCAGAAUGAAUUAUUG
rnacentral:lncRNA from 1 species